rnacentral:rRNA from 1 species
GGGAGGCAGCAGUAAGGAAUCUUGCGCAAUGGGCGAAAGCCUGACGCAGCCAUGCCGCGUGAAUGAUGAAGGUCUUAGGAUUGUAAAGUUCUUUCGCCCGUGACGAUGAUGACGGUAACGGGAGAAGAAGCCCCGGCUAACUUCGUGCCAGCAGCCGCGGUAAUACGAAGGGGGCUAGCGUUGUUCGGAAUUACUGGGCGUAAAGCGCGCGUAGGCGGUUUUGCAAGCCAGAGGUGAAAUGCCUGAGCUCAACUUAGGAAUUGCCUUUGGGACUGUGAGGCUUUGAGGACGGAAGAGGUGAGUGGAAUUCCCAGUGUAGAGGUGAAAUUCGUAGAUAUUGGGAAGAACACCGGUGGCGAAGGCGGCUCACUGGUCCGUUUCUGACGCUAAAGCGCGAAAGCGUGGGGAUCAAACAGGAUUAGAUACCCCGGUA